GAUGAAGAACGCAGCGAAAUGCGAUAAGUAAUGUGAAUUGCAGAAUUCAGUGAAUCAUCGAAUCUUUGAACGCACAUUGCGCCCCUUGGUAUUCCGGGGGGCAUGCCUGUUCGGGCGUCAUUAUCACCCCUCAAGCUCAGCUUGGUGUUGGGGCCUGCCGUCAAGGCAGCCCUUAAAAUCAGUGGCGGCGCCAUCUGGCUCUAAGCGUAGUAAUUCUUCUCGCUCUGGAGGUCCGGUCGUGUGCUCGCCAGCAACCCCCAAUUUUUUUCAGGUUGACCUCGGAUCAGGUAGGGAUACCCGCUGAACUUAAGCAUAUCAAUAAGCGGAGGA
rnacentral:misc_RNA from 1 species